GAAAAGCAAGAGAAGGGUAUACAGGGAAUGCCUAGGCUUUUGGAGGCGAAGAAGGACGCGACAAGCAGCGAAAUGCUUCGGAGAGGUGCACAUGACCUUUGAUCCGGAGGUAUCCGAAUGAGACAACUCAGCAUGUUGAAGACAUGCUUAUAUAGCCAACCCGGGGAACUGAAACAUCUAAGUACCUGGAGGAAAAGAAAACAAUAGUGAUUCCGCAAGUAGUGGCGAGCGAACGCGGAAGAGUCCAAACCAAUUGAGUUCCGGCUUAAUUGGGGUUGUAGGACCUCGAUAAUCGAUUUAGAUAGAAUUGGAACAUACUGGAAAGUGUGGCCGUAGAGGGUGAAAGUCCCGUACAGGUAAUAUCUAAAGAGAGCGAGAGUUCCUGAGUAAGUGGGGGCCGGUGAAACCCCCAUUGAAUCCGGCGGCACCAUCCGCCAAGACUAAAUACUCCCAAAAGACCGAUAGUGAACAAGUACCGUGAGGGAAAGGUGAAAAGUACCGUGAAUAACGGGGUGCAAUAGAUCCUGAAACUGUAUACCUACAAGCGGACGGAGCUACUUAGUGUAGUGACGUCGUGCCUUUUGCAUAAUGAGCCUACGAGUUACCUAUAUUAGCAAGGUUAAGGACUUAAGGUCUGCAGCCGUAGCGAAAGCGAGUCUUAAGUGGCGCUUAAGUUAGUGUAGGUAGACGCGAAACCAGGUGAUCUACCCAUGGGCAGGUUGAAGUUGUGGUAACACACAAUGGAGGACCGAACCGGUUGACGUUGAAAAGUCUUCGGAUGACCUGUGGGUAGGGGUGAAAGGCCAAUCAAACCUGGAAAUAGCUCGUACUCCCCGAAAUGCCUUUAGGGGCAGCGUCGGAUGAGUUUGAUGGAGGUAGAGCUACCAAUUAGAUGCGGGGGAGUCACAUCCUACCAAAUCUAGAUGAACUCCGAAUGCCAUCAAACACUACCGGCAGUGAGGGCUAGGGUGCCAAGGUCCUAGUCCGAAAGGGAAAGAACCCGGACCAUCGUCUAAGGUCCCCAAGUGAUAGUUAAGUUGAACUAAGGAGGUUCAGUCGCUGAGACAGCCAGGAUGUUAGCUUGGAAGCAGCUAUUCAUUCAAAGAGUGCGUAACAGCUCACUGGUCGAGCGACAGAGCAUCGAUAAUGAUCGGGCAUUAAACUAUCCACCGAAGACAUGGAUUUGUGCUUAGGCACGAGUGGUAGGGGAGCAUUCUGACGGG
rnacentral:rRNA from 1 species